GCUCAGAACGAACGCUGGCGGCAGGCUUCAUACAUGCAAGUCGAGCGGAAAGGCCCUUCGGGGUCUCGAGCGGCAAACGGGUGAGUAACAGGUGGACAACCUGCCUCUUGGUAGGGGAUACCCGCUGGAAACGGCGGCUAAUACCGUAUGUGGUUGCUGAUUUGUUUCAGCAAAGAAAGGCGCUCCUGGCGCCGCCAAGAGAUGGGUCCGCCCCCCAUUAGCUAGUUGGUGAGAUAACAGCCCACCAAGGCGACGAUGGGUAGCCGAACUGAGAGGUUGAUCGGCCACACUGGAACUGAGACACGGUCCAGACACCUACGGGUGGCAGCAGUAGGGAAUCUUGCACAAUGGGCGAAAGCCUGAUGCAGCCAUGCCGCGUGGGGGAUGAAUGUCUUCGGAUUGCAAACCCCUUUUCUGAGGGAAGAACAACCCGGGCAGGAAAUGGUCCGGGGAUGACGGUACCUCAGGAAUAAGCAACGGCUAACUCCGUGCCAGCAGCCGCGGUAAUACGGAGGUUGCGAGCGUUGUUCGGAAUCACUGGGCGUAAAGGGGGCGCAGGCGGAGCGGUCAGUCCGAAGUGAAAGCCCGGGGCUCAACCCCGGAAUGGCUUUGGAUACUGCCGGUCUGGAGUGCGUGAGAGGGAAGCGGAAUUCCAGGUGUAGCGGUGAAAUGCGUAGAUAUCUGGAGGAACAUCUGUGGCGAAAGCGGCUUCCUGGCACGUAACUGACGCUGAGGCCCGAAAGCGUGGGGAGCGAACGGGAUUAGAUACCCCGGUA
rnacentral:rRNA from 1 species